rnacentral:RNase_P_RNA from 1 species
UAACCGAGUCAAACGGUCGCGCGGUAGGAUGCCGAAAGGUGCUACCGUGAGGAAAGUCCGGGCUUCACAGGGCAGGAUAACGGAUAACGUCCGCCGAGGGGAACCUCCGGGAAAGUGCAACAGAAAUAGACCGCCGCCUCCGGGCGGUAAGGAUGGAAAGGCGAGGUAAGAGCUCACCGGCACGACAGGCAACUGUGUGCAAAUGUAAACCCUAUCCGAAGCAACACCGUAUGCGGAUCGUCGGCCCGACACACAUCCGCAGGUGGCACGGCGCAAGCCGAAGCGUCUUGGCAACAAGGCGCGCAGAUAGAUGACCGUUCGCGACAGAACCCGGCUUAUCGAUUCGAUUACACC